rnacentral:rRNA from 1 species
CAAGACGACGACGGGUAGCCGGCCUGAGAGGGCGACCGGCCACACUGGGACUGGGACACGGCCCAGACUCCUACGGGAGGCAGCAGUGGGGAAUAUUGCACAAUGGGGGAAACCCUGAUGCAGCGACGCAGCGUGCGGGAUGACGGCCUUCGGGUUGUAAACCGCUUUCAGCAGGGAAGAAGCGCAAGUGACGGUACCUGCAGAAGAAGUACCGGCUAACUACGUGCCAGCAGCCGCGGUAAUACGUAGGGUACGAGCGUUGUCCGGAAUUAUUGGGCGUAAAGAGCUCGUAGGUGGUUGGUCACGUCUGCUGUGGAAACGCAACGCUUAACGUUGCGCGUGCAGUGGGUACGGGCUGAUAGAGUGCAGUAGGGGAGUCUGGAAUUCCUGGUGUAGCGGUGAAAUGCGCAGAUAUCAGGAGGAACACCGGUGGCGAAGGCGGGACUCUGGGCUGUAACUGACACUGAGGAGCGAAAGCAUGGGGAGCGAACAGGAUUAGAUACCCUGGUAGUCCAUGCCGUAAACGUUGGGCACUAGGUGUGGGGGGCAUUCCACGUUCUCCGCGCCGUAGCUAACGCAUUAAGUGCCCCGCCUGGGGAGUACGGUCGCAAGGCUAAAACUCAAAGGAAUUGACGGGGGCCCGCACAAGCGGCGGAGCAUGCGGAUUAAUUCGAUGCAACGCGAAGAACCUUACCAAGGCUUGACAUACACCGGACCGUCCUGGAAACAGGUCUUCUUCUUUGAAGCUGGUGUACAGGUGGUGCAUGGUUGUCGUCAGCUCGUGUCGUGAGAUGUUGGGUUAAGUCCCGCAACGAGCGCAACCCUCGUUCUAUGUUGCCAGCAUGUGAUGGUGGGAACUCAUAGGAGACUGCCGGGGUCAACUCGGAGGAAGGGGGGGAUGACGUCAAAUCAUCAUGCCCUUUAUGUCUUGGGCUUCACGCAUGCUACAAUGGCUGGUACAGAGAGAGGCGAACCCGUGAGGGCAAGCGAAUCCCUUAAAGCCAGUCUCAGUUCGGAUCGUAGUCUGCAAUUCGACUACGUGAAGUCGG